ACCUUAAUUAUCCUCAACACAUUAUUUACAAGUAGAUUAUGAGGUUCUCAAUGUAUGAUUGGUUUUGAGUCCAUCUGAAUAAUAUAAGAACCAUGAACAUAUCACGAAAGUUGAGGGUGCAUUUUAUAGAUCCAAAAGUUGGGGGGUUACCGGCCACAUACCAGACACCAAACCCUAGUUUAAUAAUAAGAAAUUCUGUACCAUAAACAAGAUAACCAUUUUCAAGCAAUGAUCUUGAUCGUUAUGUACUAUGCACAUCCAACAAGGCCUGCCACUAUAUGCUGAUUAUUGCGAAGCCAACACAUUGGUAUCAUCAAAAAUGAAAAAAGAACAUGCGAGGAGACUGGAACUGCGCGACAUGCCAACGUCUAAACUUCCGCCGGAGAACAAAAUGCUACAGAUGUGGUGAGUCACAUGCUGGCUUAAGCAGGGUCCGCAACAACGCUCCUACGCCUCGGGUAUGUGAAUUUAGGCCUGGAGACUGGUUCUGUGCUGCCGUGGGCUGUCAGGCCCACAACUUUGCCGAUCGUUGCGUCUGCAUCAAAUGUGGCGCACUCAAAAGCAUUCCAUUUUUUUUCGGUGUUGGACACUACACACCUGUGUUUCCUCCCGUGAUUUUCGGUUUUCCUGAUCAAGGGUUUGCAAGAAUCAGUCGGCGAGGGUGGAGGAUUGGAGACUGGUUUUGUGGCCGACGUGACUGCAAUGCACACAAUUAUGGUGACCGAGUGCAAUGUUUCAAGUGCGAUUCACCAAGGGAAUUGGUUGGCAACAUAUCUAACUAAUUUUGUUGCAUCUCAGGUCUGCUGGUUACGGUGUCAAUGAACGAGGGGGUGGUUGUUUUGCAGACGUCUAUGUUAUGUUCUGUUUCUGUUUCUUUUUUUGUUAUGUUGAAGUUUGGAUGAAUUAUGAAGGAUGUAAUUGCAAAUGCUUUUGUUUAUGUUGAAAGAUAAUAUGUGCUUA